UUAAUUGAAACCAAAAAGAGGUUAAUUAUUGUUAAUAAUUUUAUUGAAUUUAAAAUUCCAAUUAAA
rnacentral:tRNA from 1 species